GAAAAAUUUAACUUGAAACAAGUUUUUUUUCUUUGCCACAACAAAAUUUAUUAGAAUAGAUUUUUUUAAAGAAGGAGGGGGAACUGCAUUUUAACUCCGGAAAUAAAGUAUGCAGACAUAUGCGAAAACAUUUAUCUUAGGACACUCACCCAUGGCAUUUUUUUCAGGCAGAAAUUUUUGUGCUCAUCUUUGAACACCUCUGAGUUUAUUUUCCUACUAAUUCUAAAUCAAAACUGAACACACAUUUCCCCAGUCUUUAUUCAUCUGCCAGACUCGAGCCUUAAAAAUGCAAGCAUGCUUGGAAGCACCCAGAAGUUUCUUGGAACUUCUCCUGGGAACAACAAAGAACAAUCAAAAGGAGAGUUUCCAAACCUGAGAUUCGAUCAACUUUCCCAUGUUUCCAAACCUGAGAUAUGAUCAACUUUCAUUUAACAAGCCACAAAUCUCAGGACCAAAGUUUCACAUUUUCUUUUGUUCGUGUUUUCCUGACUGGAAUUAUUCAGUCUUUACUUAAAACCAGCUGUGAGUUCAUCAUCCAUUUGUGAUCUUUUAUUUAUUGCAUAAAAUAUUUCACAAAUACUUGAACAUAUAUAGAAAAACAUAACAAAGGCUCAUUUACCCACAUCCAAAUCUUUAAAUAUUCAUAUUUUGCCUUGUCUGUUCCUUUCUUUAACAAAGAUUCAUUUAAUAUCACAGAUGCUGUAUUUACAUCCCUCAACAACCAAAUUCUCUACCUCUCUCUUCAGCAGUAACUACAAUCCUAAAGUUAUUACAUAUCCUUCCCAGCUAUUUUUAAAAUGCAUUCACCUCAUAUUUAUCUAUCCCUAAAUAAUAUGACCAAUUACUUUGGUAUUUAUGAGUUUUGCAUAAAAAAUAGCAGAUAUCUUUAUGCACUUUGAUUUUCUUUCAUUCGGCAUUGGGUUUUUGAGAUACAAAUAGCUCCAGCUGCUUAGUUUUAUACAUCUAUACAAUCUAUUAAACUCCCUAUUCAUCAACAUUUAAUUUUCACUGCUUUAUGCAUACAACUGCUGUGGUUGUAUACACAUAUACAGUUUAUUAAUCUCCCUAUUUAUCUACAUCUAAUUUUCACUGCUUUAUGCAUAUAGCUGCUGUAAUUGUACAUAUACAUAUAAUUUAUUAAUCUCCCUAUUUAUCAGCAUUUAAUUUUCAUUGCCAUAAAUGACAAAAGUUGUGUGUAUACCACUGCUAUAAUUUUACACAUAUAUACUAUUUAUUAAUCCCCCUAUUUAGCAACAUUUGAUUUUCACUGCCAUAAAUGACUAUGCAAUGAGCAUUCCUAUGCCAGUCUCACUGGAAUAUGUGCAAAAGUUUCUCCAAAAUAUACACCUAGAGGUGGAAUUGUUGGGUCAUGUAAAAUGCAUAUCUUAAUAUUUCCUAGAUGCUGACAAAUUGCUUCCUCUCCAAAGCAGUUUUACUGAUGUGUACCCUUGCCAUCAGUGUAGUAUUUCCAUUUCUCGUCAUCUUUAUCACUACCUGAUGCAGUCAGAUAUUUUAAUGUUUGACAAUUCAAUGAGCAUAAAAUGAUGCAUUGUUAUUUUACUUUUUAUUUCCCUGAUGAAUCCAUUUGUAUCUGAGUAACUCAUCCUUUUCCUGCUUAUCUUUUAUGCCAUCUUUGUCAUCUUCUGAGUGUCUACAUAUGCCCAAAUGUUAGUCCAGGCUUUUCUGGCCCAUUUUUCUGUGUAUCUAUUCCUGUCCUGGUGCUCCACUGUUUUAUUACCAUAUUUUAUACAAAGUCUUGUUAUCUGGUAUAUUAAUUCUCACACCACCAUACCCUUCUUCAAAAUUGUUGUGGCCAUUCUUGGCCAUUUACUCAUCAUAUGAAUUUUCAGAUGAGCCUAUCGGGUCUCCUAAAAAAUUGUGUUGGGAGCUAGAUUGAAUUUAUGUUUUAAUGCCAGAAGUUACAUCUUUAUAAUAUUGUGCCUCCUAAUCUUGAACAUGGUAUAUCAUUUCCUUUACAUUGGGCUUCAAUAAAACUUUA
rnacentral:lncRNA from 1 species